rnacentral:rRNA from 1 species
GACGGAGGGUGCAAGCGUUGUUCGGAUUGACUGGGCGUAAAGGGCGUGUAGGCGGUUGGUCAAGUCUGAUGUGAAAGCCCGGGGCUCAGCCCCGGAAGGGCAUCGGAAACUAGCCAGCUGGAGCGCGAUAGAGGAGGGUGGAAUUCCUGGUGUAGCGGUGAAAUGCGUAGAUAUUGGGAGGAACACCAGUGGCGAAGGCGGCUCACUGGACCGGUACUGACGCUGAUGCGCGAAAGCGUGGGGAGCAAACGGG